rnacentral:rRNA from 1 species
GUGGCUCAGUUCAGAUCGUAGGCUGCAACUCGCCUACGUGAAGGAGGAAUCGCUAGUAAUCGCAGGUCAGCAUACUGCGGUGAAUACGUUCCCGGGCCUUGUACACACCGCCCGUCACACCAUGGAAGUUGGCCACGCCCGAAGCCGUUACUCCAACCCUUGUGGAGGAGGACGUCGAAGGUGGGGCUGAUGACUGGGGUGAAGUCGUAACAAGGUAUCCGUACCGGAAGGUGCGGAUGGAUCACCUCCUAA